rnacentral:rRNA from 1 species
GACGAACCGUGCGAACGUUGUUCGGAAUCACUGGGCUUAAAGGGCGCGUAGGCGGGUCACCAAGUCCGGGGUGAAAUCUUUCGGCUUAACCGGAAAACUGCCUUGGAUACUGGUGACCUCGAGGGAGGUAGGGGUCUGUGGAACUUCUGGUGGAGCGGUGAAAUGCGUUGAUAUCAGAAGGAACGCCGGUGGCGAAAGCGACGGACUGGACCUCCACUGACGCUGAGGCGCGAAAGCUAGGGGAGCAAACGGG